CCCUUAGAUGUCCUGGGCCGCACGCGCGUUACACUGAUGCAUUCAACGAGCUUAUAACCUUGGCCGAGAGGCCUGGGCAAUCUUGUUAACGUGCAUCGUGAUAGGGAUAGAUUAUUGAAAUUAUUAAUCUUGAACGAGGAAUUCCUAGUAAACGCAGAUCAUCAAUCUGCAUUGAUUACGUCCCUGCCCUUUGUACACACCGCCCGUCGCACCUACCGAUUGGAUGAUCCGGUGAAGCCUCGGGAUUGUGGUUCUUGCCGCUUUAUUGUGGCGUGACCGCGAGAACUUGUCUAAACCUUAUCAUCUAGAGGAAGGUGAAGUCGUANCA
rnacentral:rRNA from 1 species